CUGUUCUGAGAGACCUCGCAUCGGUUUUGAGAUGGGCUCGGACAGGGAACCCGGCGGCUCAGGGGCCGCGAAAGGGCGGAAGAGACAGCUGGUGCUGGAGUCCAGCGACUCCGAAGCGGACGAACACCCCGUCUCCACGCCCGAGAAGCCCGACGAGGCCGCCGGCAAUGCUGACGCCACCGUAAACAACUGUGAUCAGUCAGUGGAGAAAGCAGCGCCUGUUAGUUCAGAGAAGCUUCCCGGGGCUAAGACUGCUGAAACAGACGAUUCGUCAGAUAAGAACACCACCGGAGAUAAGCUGAACAGUAGCAGUGCAGGUGCCAGCACCCCGCUAGGCUGCGGGGAUGAGCCAAUGGAGAAAGUGGUGCCCGUUAGUAGUUCUGACAAGCUUUCCGAUGCUAAGUCUACUGAAGGACAGUAUGCAGAGAAGAGUAAGGGGGAUAAGCUCGGCAGGAGUAGCGGCUCACAGCCUGACACCAAGAGGAGCAGAAUUGAGGGUGUCCAUGUUGGUGGUGCUGGAAACGGUGGAACUGCGUCAAAGGAUGUAGCUGCUGGGAAAAUGCUCCGUCCAGGCUUUCCAAAAUGGCGGUUCGAGAAGCCAGAGGUGAGGGCUGGUCGAGUUGAUGUGGAGAUGAAGGAAACCAGUGGAUCAAAGGUCAAGGAGCAGGUUCCGAGCUUGAAUGACAAGAGGAGACAUGUGGAACCGCUGAAACAUGAGAAACACAAGCCAUUGAAGACUGAAUCAGUUGACUCUGGCCGACAGGAACGCCGGGAAGACGUGAAGGCAAAGGUCAAGGAGCAGAACUCAAGUUUGGAUGACAAGAGGAGGCUGGUAGAAGCCUCGAAACAUGAGAAGAAUGACAAGGGUGGCCCGGUUGAGGCUGGACAGCGGGAGGUUAUAAGGGUGCAAGGGAAAAGUGGCCUUUUGAAGAUUCUGCCCAAGAAGGCUAAGGUUGACGGGGAAACCAGUGAUAGCAAUACUCGCCCAAAGAAUGCCAAGGUGGUGGAGGCCGCGGAUGGCAAAAUUCCCACCAAGACUGGUGUUUUAAAGCUUCUUCCAAAGAACAGUACGACGGCUAGAGAAUACAGUGAUGAAAAGCUUCUUUCCAAGAGCAUUAAGUUGGAGAGGGAGACCACUGAUGGCAAGAUCCUGACAAAGACUGGUAAGGUGGAUAGGGAAACUGGUGAUGACAAGGUGCCUACUAAGAACAUUAAGUUGGAUGGGGAGACCAGUGAUGGCAGGAUUCCGGCAAGGAAUAAUAGGGUUGAUGGAGAGACCAGUACUGGUAAUAGACGAGAUAAGGAUGCAAGCAGUGCUCUCAAUGAGUCUCAAAAGCAUGAUGCAAAUGGUGGGAAGACAGUUACUAAAAAGCUGGUCUCCUCUGUCACUUUGAGGAGAAGCGAUCCUAGUGUAGUGGGAGUUUCUACAACAAAACAGCAAAGUUCAAAGGCGCAUCUGAAGGCCUCCUCACAACCACGCCUGAAAGAUGAAAAAACUAAGUUAGGUGAACACAAAAAUGGGAAAAAGCGAUUGCUUGAGCAUGAAGGUUCACCAGAGAAUUUGUCGAAGAAAGCAAAAUCGAGGGUCACUGAUCUGCAAGGUACAUCUGCUUCUGCUCUCGAGAAGCAUGCCAUGAAGAAGCCAAGGGGAGGACCUCGUAAUGACCUUAAGCAGAAACUCAGGGAUCAGAUAAAGGGCAUACUCUUAAAUAACGGAUGGACAAUUGACCUAAGACCUAGGAGAGAUAAGGAUUAUGAAGAUUCUGUGUAUGUUUCUCCACAAGGUAAUGGCUACUGGUCAAUCACAAAGGCUUAUGCAGUGUAUCAAGAGCAGUCAAAAAGUUCACAGGAUGAGGAGCCUAUAUCAAAGGAUGAUCUAGCAAUGCUACAAAGGAUUGUGCGGAAAAGAAGGGGCCAAAAAGAACAUGCUGCUGAAAAGAAAUCUGGGAACAACAGAAGCAGAAAAUAUCAGAACAACGAAGAAAAGGUAAAAACUAAGAAACGGGGAUGUGGACUACUUGUCCGUGGUAGUACCCGUAACAUGCAAGGCACGGGUGACUAUAUCCCUUAUAAAUGGAAGAGGACGGUUUUAUCGUGGAUGAUAGAUCUGGGGGUUGUUUCAGAAGAUGCGAAGAUCAAAUACAUUAAUAAAAAAGGGACACAGGCAAAACUAGAUGGUAGAAUUACUAGGGAUGGUAUUUACUGUGGAUGCUGUUCCAAGAUUCUCACAGCUGCAAAGUUUGAACUUCAUGCUGGUUCAAAAGAGCAACAGCCUUAUGCAAACAUAUUUUUAGAAGAUGGUGGGGUUCCAUUGUUGCAAUGCUUACUUGAUGCAUGGGAUAAGCAGGCACAACAUGAAAAGAAGGGAUUUUACAAGAUAGAUCCUGCUGAUGAUCCUGAUGAUGACACUUGUGGUAUUUGUGGUGAUGGUGGUGACUUGCUCUGCUGUGAUCAUUGUACUUCAACUUUUCAUGUGGCUUGUUUAGGAAUUGAGAUGCCUUCCGAAGAUUGGUAUUGUCGUAGCUGUAUAUGCAAGUUCUGUGGCUCUGCUGAAGAAAUGACACCACCUCUUGCUGAGUUGCUUUCUUGCUUGCAAUGUUCAAGAAAAUAUCACCGGGUUUGCGCACCAGGAACUGAGAGGGACUCUAUUUGUACCACGUCUGGUGCCUCGACCGAUUGCUUUUGCAGCCCAGGAUGUAAAAAGAUUUAUAAACGACUAAAAAAGCUUGUUGGGCUCAAGAAUGACAUGGAGGCUGGAUUUUCCUGGAGUCUGGUUCGCUGUUUUGCUGACAGUGAGGCUGCACCCCUGAAAAAGAAAGCGGAAUUGGCGCAUUGCAACUCAAAGACAGCUGUUGCUUUCUCAGUUAUGGAUGAGUGUUUUCUGCCACGUAUUGAUGAAAGAAGUGGGAUUAAUAUAGUUCACAACGUCGUAUAUAAUUGUGGGUCGGAUUUCAGCCGUUUAAAUUUUAGUGGCUUCCAUACGUUUAUUCUGGAGCGUGGGGAUGAAGUUAUAUCUGCGGCAACUAUCAGAAUUCAUGGUACCGAGUUAGCAGAAAUGCCAUUCAUAGGCACGAGAGGCAUGUAUCGGCGCAAAGGGAUGUGCCAUCGACUACUAAAUGCAAUCGAAUCGACCCUUUGCUCUCUCAAUGUUCGAAGACUAGUAAUACCUGCCAUACCAGAAUUACAGAAUACCUGGUCUACAAUUUUUGGUUUUAAGCCCGUUGGACCUCUGAAGAAACAAAAAUUGAAGUCUUUUAAUCUGUUGAUUAUCCAUGGUACUGGUUUACUGGAGAAGCGCUUGCUGCUAACAGGUCAAGUGAAUCAACCAACCACUGCUGGGACAGUUAAUGCUGUUGAGUGUGAUAAGAUAUCUGCUCAAAUGCUCGGUGAAGCAAGUGGACCUCUUACACCUGUUCAUGCUUCUCGAGAAUGUGCUGUGGGUGAUAAUAGUGGAGCUAAGGACAAUGAUACUUGUGCUUUAACUGAGUGCUCUUCAGGCUUGGCAUCCAAGCUUCCUCCUGUCCCUGAAGAAAAACCUCAAGAAAGGACUUCUCCAGUUAAUAUAGCUGAUGUUAAUUUGCGUACAAGUGAAGAUGACAUGCCUUGCAAGCCCGAAGCUGACAAUAAGGAAGAAGUGAAAUAUGCAGAAACAGAUGUGUCAUUGGUUGCUGAUAACAUUGUUACCGGUGAGAUGCCUGAAGAUAAAUCUAACUCCAGUUAUGCAGAUUCAUCUGCUAUUCCAGUGAAAAUGGAUACAGGUCCAUGUUCAUCUAUUGAGCUUGGAAAUGGUGAAAAUUGCCCACCUAGUGAAAUUUCUGUUGAUGCUGGUCUCUUGGAAGACAAAACUGAAUCUAAUCUCAACUCCAAUUCCAUCUCUGCCCCCUCUGAUACUCAAGAAGAUAUGAAGUCUUGUGUAGCUCCUUUAGUCACAAGGGAUCGUAAGCCUGAUGAUAACCAUGAGUUGAAAAGUAUCGUUGCUGAUGGUGAUACUCAAAGUUCACUAGAAGUUAAAGGUUCGGAAGUUAUUGUAAAUGAGCAAUCAAGAGAUGCCUAUACAACCAAAGAUCAAUCAUAUGUCGGUGGUGUAACUAGCAAUGCUGUUGCUACUAAAGAACACAGUCGUUCUGCAGUUGAUAUCGUAGUAUCAACAGAGAGAUCAUUGGAUGAAACAAAGUCUAUUGGAGGUGAUAACAGUGAAGUGAAGGUUGCAACCAUUGAAGUGCAUGCCAUAUCUGCGACCUCUAAUGAAGCAGGAAUAACAGUUUCAGCACUUGAAAGAUCAAAUGACAUAUAUGGUGAAGAUACCGCAAAGCCUACUCUAAGUUGUGGGGAGGGCCAACUUCAUGGAGAGGAGGGCGUAUACAAGAAUAGCUUGGAAGAUGGCCUAGCUUCUAGAGACCCUGUUAAUGCAUGAGCUUUAUGUUUUGUGCUACAAAAUGCUGAAGGUAGGAUCAUGCCACAUUUCUGGAAGUUUUUGGAUUGUGGGAGUUCUUUAAUUAGGAUAGUCAAUCAAGUUGCUGGUUCAGAAGACUAGACAUCAACUUUGUGUGAUGUUAAUUCUGACUACUGUAGACGACUGUUUCUUGAAAGAACUGUUGGGCAUAUCCUUACCUUAGGCUGGGAUGAUGAACUGUUUUGUGCCCAGACCAAUGGUACACCCAAGUAACCAGAGACGUAUUUCACUGCCAUGGCUCAUUGAUGUUUGAGGAGUUCAGUUGCUUCUCCGAGGCUGUAUCAGAUCAUUAAGCUUGAUCUCUUUUUGAGUAGGCACCUAGUUUGCAUCAGAGUUACAUCCCAACUGGGUCACCCUUUUUUGUUGUGUGUAUGUAGUAUGUACAUACAAUACCUGCGAAUUUUCUCGUUCCUUUCAUGCAACCUCAAGAGUUAUCUCUGAAAGAUUGUCAAUAGGCAAGGUUCAGGGUGUGGACAUGUAAACUUUUGUUCUACCCUUGUACAGAUCUAUAUAAUCUGUCACUUUUCUUGGGUAUGAUUCUUCUGUUGGCUUCA